rnacentral:rRNA from 1 species
UGAGGAAUAUUGGGCAAUGCCCGCAAGGGUGACCCAGCAACGCCGCGUGGAGGAUGAAUGUCGUAAGAUUGUAAACUCUUGUUAGAGGGGAAGAAUAGUACCGGUUGGACCGGUAUAAGACUGUACCCUCAGAGAAAGCCCCGGCUAACUACGUGCCAGCAGCCGCGGUAAUACGUAGGGGGCAAGCGUUACUCGGAAUUACUGGGCGUAAAGCGUGCGUAGGUGGUUGUUUAAGUCUGAUGUGAAAGCCCUGGGCUCAACCUGGGAAUGGCAUUGGAAACUGGGCAGCUAGAGUGCGGUAGAGGGUAGUGGAAUUCCCGGUGUAGCAGUGAAAUGCGUAGAGAUCGGGAGGAACAUCUGUGGCGAAGGCGACUGCCUGGACCAGCACUGACACUGAGGCACGAAAGCGUGGGGAGCAAAC